ensembl:snRNA U4 U4 spliceosomal RNA
AGCUUUGCGCAGUGGCAGUAUCGUAGCCUAUGAGGUUUAUCCGAGGCGCGAUUAUUGCUAGUUGAAAACUUUACCCAAUACCCCGCCUUGACGACUUGAAAUAUAGUCGGCAAUGGCAAUUUUUGACGGUCUCUGAGGAGA